rnacentral:lncRNA from 1 species
CGCUGUGGAGCUUGAAGCACUUCUCAGAAUUUCAGCACACUCGCAUUUAUUUUUAUCCCGACAGAAGAACACUGCAAGUCUCACAUCUCGACGGUAAAACGUCGCAUCUGCGUACGUGUUCAGGGCCAAGAGCACGAGAACUGGCUGAAAGAAAGGAGCCGAUCCAAGAGGAAUGCCGUCCGUCUAGUAUACAUGUCAGCGCUAUCAUGCAGCGAUCACAUGGACUGUACGGUUGCAUUGCACAAAGGCUGAUGCAAACGCUACGCGUGAACAAUGUUGCAUGUAAAAUUAGUGCAUCUAUACAAUUGCAAAAUAAACAUCUAAAGACAGAACGCUUA